rnacentral:tRNA from 1 species
GAUUCGUUAGCUCAGCAGGUAGAGCAACGCCCUUUUAAGGCGUGGGCCCUGGGUUCGAGUCCCAGACGGAUCACCA